GAUGAACGCUGGCGGCGUGCCUAAUACAUGCAAGUCGAGCGAACAGAUGAGGAGCUUGCUCCUCUGACGUUAGCGGCGGACGGGUGAGUAACACGUGGAUAACCUACCUAUAAGACUGGGAUAACUUAGGGAAACCGGAGCUAAUACCGGAUAAUAUAUUGAACCGCAUGGUUCAAUAGUGAAAGACGGUUUUGCUGUCACUUAUAGAUGGAUCCGCGCCGCAUUAGCUAGUUGGUAAGGUAACGGCUUACCAAGGCAACGAUGCGUAGCCGACCUGAGAGGGUGAUCGGCCACACUGGAACUGAGAUACGGUCCAGACUCCUACGGGAGGCAGCAGUAGGGAAUCUUCCGCAAUGGGCGAAAGCCUGACGGAGCAACGCCGCGUGAGUGAUGAAGGUCUUCGGAUCGUAAAACUCUGUUAUUAGGGAAGAACAAAUGUGUAAGUAACUAUGCACGUCUUGACGGUACCUAAUCAGAAAGCCACGGCUAACUACGUG
rnacentral:rRNA from 1 species